GAAAUGCGAUAAGUAAUGUGAAUUGCAGAAUUCAGUGAAUCAUCGAAUCUUUGAACGCACCUUGCGCUCCUUGGUAUUCCUUGGAGCAUGCCUGUUUGAGUAUCAUGAAAUCUUCAAAGUAAAUCUUUUGUUAACUCAAUUGGUUUCUACUUUGGUAUUGGAGGUCUUUGCAGCUUCACACCUGCUCCUCUUUGUUCAUUAGCUGGAUCUCAGUGCUAUGCUUGGUUCCACUCGGCGUGAUAAGUUAUCUAUCGCUGAGGACACUGUAAAAGGUGGCCAAGGUAAAUGCAGAUGAACCGCUUCUAAUAGUCCAUUGACUUGGACAAUACUUUUAUGAUCUGAUCUCAAAUCAGGUAGGACUACACGCUGAACUUAAGC
rnacentral:misc_RNA from 1 species